ensembl:lncRNA
AAAUUAUCCGUUCCGCCGCUAGAGGGCGCGCCUGCGCCUCGGAGGACUUGGUUACCUCCUCCAGCUCCCGUCUUGUUUUCCGUGUAGCAUGAAGAGGGAAACGUUUUAAAACAGUGUGUCAAAAAGCUCUGACCGCUGAAGGUGAUAUAGGCUCUGUUCACCGCUCACGGCGUCGGACUCUAGGGAUGCUACCGAACAACCUUAACACUGGGCCGAGAGUGGCGAGAUACUUGAUUUUCCUCUCGUUUUUUCACUACAACCUUGUUACUGGCAGCUCCAAGAAAGACUUGCAGGGUGAAACUCAAAGGGCUCUUACACCUGAGGGCCGAAGGACUCAAGCCCAACACACGCUGGCGCCGAAAAGGCGCGUCAAAAAGAACGGCCCCAGUAUUCCGGACGUACUAGCCCGCACCGCGCCGCGCCGCCCGACGUCUAGGCUUCACGCCACUGUUCUAUUCCCUAGCGUCGCCGCCCCUGAAAAAGCGCUUCUAAAGCUGUUUGGUACAUCCCGGCUUGAUACAAGGUCCUGUGUAUAUAUGGAGAUUGUUGAUGCACUACAUCCACGAUGCAAAAGGAUUGAGCAAUGAAAGUAAAUAAAGUGUGUAAAGUGACUACAACAUAAAAAAAGUGCCCGACAGUACAUAAAGUAACUGAAUGAAUGUGACUAUCAUUGUAAGCAGAAACAGAGGAUCAUGGGCAUCAGGAUCAUGUAGUCAUUAAACAACUGGUAUGACGUGAUGGUAGCCUAUACCGACUAAGUUUGUUGAUCUGCUUCUUUCAAAACAUAUGCAGCGUGCCGUUUCCUUUUGCUGCUAGGGGCGGCUUUUGACGCGCUUGAAAUGCGCAACGCUGCGGCGCCGGUGUGUGGCCGGCUUCACUCUGUGGUGCUAACAAUAAACAUAUUUUUACUAUUUCAUCAAAUGCUUAAUAUGGGAAGAUAAUAUAACCCAGAACCUUUUGGUUGGGAAUCAAACUUCUGUGUCCAAUACUUUUUUUUUGUUGUUUUAAGUUCGACUUUGAUACAGUUGUUCAGAAAAAU